rnacentral:rRNA from 1 species
UACGAAGGGGGCUAGCGUUGUUCGGAUUUACAGGGCGUAAAGCGCACGUAGGCGGAUCGUUAAGUCGGGGGUGAAAUCCUGGAGCUCAACUCCAGAACUGCCUUCGAUACUGGCGAUCUUGAGUCCGGAAGAGGUGAGUGGAACUCCUAGUGUAGAGGUGGAAUUCGUAGAUAUUAGGAAGAACACCAGUGGCGAAGGCGGCUCACUGGUCCGGUACUGACGCUGAGGUGCGAAAGCGUGGGGAGCGAACAGG